UUCAUUUUUUCUCUCCUGCAAGCAAAGAAGGGGAAUUUUGUGGAGUGGAAUCAUAAGUCUCGUCGCUCAUCGAUCGAUCGAGCUCGUGUUUUGGGCAUUUCCAGUUAGUCGAGAAAGGAUGGUAAGGUCAUCGCUUGAACAGAAACAAGCAGACAUGGACAUGGCCAAAGCCCUCGCGCCAGUCUUUGGAAUAGCAGCUGCGACAGCGAUCACAUUAUUCUCCUCACUCAAAGAAUCGCAGAACGAAAGAAUCGAGAUCGAGGAUGAAAGAGAACUCCAAAUCUCGACCAGCGACGUCUCCAAUCCUGACACCAAGAACACUGCCCAUAGCAACUUGCCACUCCAGUGACAAGAAAAAGAGAAAAAGAGAAAAGAGAGGAGUUCCUUUUUCACUGACCCGGGAGUGAUCCCGUGAAUGGAUCGAUGGAUUUGAUCUCACUUUCGAUUACUUGUACAAUGUUCGCUAAAGUCAAUCGAAACUCUUUCUUCUCA